rnacentral:rRNA from 1 species
UACGAGGGAUCCUAGCGUUGUUCGGAAUCAUUGGGCGUAAAGGGUGUGUAGGCGGCCAUGUAAGUCAGUUGUGAAAGCCCCGGGCUCAACCCGGGAAGUGCUUCUGAUACUGCUUGGCUUGAGUAUUGGAGAGGUGAGUGGAAUUCCAGGUGUAGUGGUGAAAUACGUAGAUAUCUGGAGGAACACCGGCGGCGAAGGCGGCUCACUGGCCAUAUACUGACGCUGAAACACGAAAGCGUGGGGAGCGAUCCGG